rnacentral:rRNA from 1 species
GAUGAACGCUGGCGGCGUGCCUAAUACAUGCAAGUCGAGCGAACGGACGAGAAUCUUGCGUCUCUGAUGUUAGCGGCGGAAGGGUGAGUAACACGUGGAUAACCUACCUAUAAGACUGGGAUAACUUCGGGAAACCGGAGCUAAUACCGGAUAAUAUUUUGAACCGCAUGGUUCAAAAGUAAAAGACGGUCUUGCUGUCACUUAUAGAUGGAUCCGCGCUGCAUUAGCUAGUUGGUAAGGUAACGGCUUACCAAGGCAACGAUGCAUAGCCGACGUGAGAGGGUGAUAGGCCGCACUGGAAGGGGGACGCGGACCAGGCUACUGCGGGAGGCACCAGUAGGGAACCUUCCGCAAUGGGCGAAAGCCUUGCGGAACGGGCCCACGUGAGUGAUAGAGGUCUUCGGAUCGUAAAACUCUGUUAUUGGGGAAGAACAUAUGUGUAAGUAACUGUGCACAUCUUGACGGUACCUAAUCAGAAAGCCCCGGCUAACUACGUG